UGCUGGUGUGGUAUCAUUUCCGGGGUC
rnacentral:sRNA from 1 species